UACGUAGGGGGCAAGCGUUGUCCGGAUUUAUUGGGCGUAAAGCGUGCGCAGGCGGUUUUGUAAGUCAGAUGUGAAAUCCCCGGGCUUAACCUGGGAACUGCGUUUGAAACUACAAGGCUAGAGUGUGGCAGAGGGGGGUGGAAUUCCACGUGUAGCAGUGAAAUGCGUAGAGAUGUGGAGGAACACCGAUGGCGAAGGCAGCCCCCUGGGUUAACACUGACGCUCAGGCACGAAAGCGUGGGGAGCAAACAGG
rnacentral:rRNA from 1 species